AAAUGUGAAAGCUUUAGAAUUAGAGAAUUUGAAUGUUUAGCAAUUUAGACAUCGGCAAAUUUUGUUUAAUUCCAUUUAUGAAAACCAUAAAUUGCUCGUUCAGUUUAACCUCACCUUCGACACCUCUAAAGUGUAGACCUAGUUAUAAUAGAAUCUCCGUAUCUUCGAGUGAUAGAUUUCAAACGCUAAUUUAACAUUUUGGAAUAUUUACAACAUUAUUUUAAAACUGUAUAUUAUUUGUCCCUUAUUCAUUCCACUUUUCUCAUAAUUUUAUCAGGUAAUGUGACUGUGUUGAUCUAUAACAGAGCUAUAUGUAUACUAUAUAAUAUUUAUUCUACCAAUCUGUUUUUUAUUUAUGCACAGUUCAAUAUGUUUCUUUUAACAAUAGCUAACUUUCAUAUAAAAUAUUCUAUUAUAUAAUGGAUGAUUUAAGAGUUACCUAAAAUAGUUAAGUGAUUAAUUCAAAUCAAUUGAUUUUUAUGAAAAUUCAUAUCAUAAGUCGACAAAUAAUUCAAAAUUGCGAAUUUGUACUGUUUCUUUUAUUCUUCUGUAUUUAUUCGAAUUAAUUCAAAUUUAGCUUUGCGGUUUUGUCAAAUUUUCUCAUCAUCUUCGUAGAGUUACAUCGAACCGAGCAUUACAAAAGUAUAUUUAAGUUUAAUGAAUUAAUGAAGUAUCAAUAACAAACUGUAAAUGAGUUCAAAUGUGCAUCUAAAAGCUUCGUUAUUUUUACUUAUCAAGAUUUUUUAAUUGUCGAUACAGUACUCCAAAAUACUCGACGAGCAAAUGUCUCAAAUAUUUAUAAUACUGGAAAUUUAACACUAAACCUACCAACGUAUGCACACUUAUUUUGAAAUUAAAUACAAAAUCAAAAAAUAAAUAAAUGAUUGUACUCAUUUAUUCUCUGUCCUCAUAAAAAUUAACAUGGAUUUGAAGAAAACUACCUUAACAAAUUUCGUACCUCAAAAUAAGAAACUUAUAAUAAAUAAUUUGGUAGGCUCAGUGUUAAUUAAGCUUAAUUAACAUUAAUGUUAACUUAAUUACCAAAUUAUUUAUUAUAAGUUUCUUACUUUAAGGUACGAAAUUUGCUAAGGUAGUUUUUUUCUUAAUGUUAAUCAAGCUUAAUGUUAAUCUUAAUCAAGCUUAAUGUUAAUUAACAUUAAGCUUGUGCAUGAGGGAGUAAAAUUAUUACCGCUCUUUUCUUUUAAAAGAAAGUGUUUCUACGUUCGUGGAAAGGAAAAUUAUAACUCGAGGAUUUAGAAUCAGACAACAUAAACUCCAAAAACAUAAUAUUACAGGGGAGAGAACUAUGUCCAGUUAGUUUUUUGACUCUCCACAAAUGUUGCAAAAUCAAAACGUUAUCUUCAAAAAUAUUUAAAUUAUUUAUUUUUGCAUAACAUUUUUGUAGUUGAUACUUACGACUUCUAUGAUCGUAAAUCUUUACAUCGUAAGUCUUUAACAUAAAAUAGUGAGUUAAAGUUAUCUGACUCUAAAUCCUCAUAAAACAGCAUAGUUUUAUAUGUCAUUUACACGUAAGCAUACGUUGCACCUCUAGUCCAUAGAGCCGUGAGCUUUCGUCCAAUUACCGAGCCUUUUGCAGUUUUUAAAUAAAAAAUUUCAUGAACAAAGUGAAAUCGAUGUUAUUGAAGUGUUAAAAAGCGCGAAAGACUGCAAGUUUGUGUAUAUGCGUGCGUGUGGGUAUGUGUACGUUUGGAAAAGAAAAAUUGAGAGAGAACGAAUGAAAGGGCGUUGAAAUAUCGAUAAAUCUCUUCGCCCAAUUUGUAACAGUUAUUUUUAUUUUAUAAUCUUUGUUCCUUUCCUUUUCUGUCGGGAGAGAAGGAACGCAUUCGCUUGUUUUUCUUUUUUUUUGUUUUCGUUUAAUUUCGGCUGUGAAACGAAUUAAUAACAAUUAGCAAUGAACAGCCUUCGAAUUAGAAAUUAUCUCUGCAAAUUAAUAUCGUUGUUUGCUGUUGUCUGUUUAUUUCUUUGAUGCUCUUGACGCUGGAACAACCAGUGACGAAUGACUUUUCUUUUUACUUUCAUUUGUCAUUGCCUUUCUUUUCGGUAUAUCUUUAGAUUUAUUAACUGAAGUUUUCGUUGAACUGUUUAAAACGUUGAAAUGUAAUAAGACAAAAAAUACUUUUGUGUAAAAUAAAGGAUUUUAAUAAUAUUGAAUAGACAUAUAGGGUAAACUACCAUGAUUGACAACAUAACCUAAAAUUCAGUGUCAAAGAAUCGAUUUAAUAAAUAGGGACUUUGUGUUUUUUAUUGAGAAAUUGAUUUAUGAAAUAUAUGAUUUGUAAAAAUUGAUUUAUAGAUAUAACAAGAUAGAAUAAAAUGGUUACUUUGUUUAAAGAUCUUACAACAAUAAAAUCUUAUAAAAUUUAUAACAAGGAUUUUAUCAAAUUUACAGUUUAAAGAUUUCAUAAAAUAAUUUGAAGAUUUUAUAAAACUUAUAAAAUACAGUAAAAUAGUUAAUCGUUAAUAGACUUCAUACGUUGUACCAUUACUUAGCUUAUAAUUUUGUAUUAAUUUGACAAAGUAUGUAAUUUUUCACAAACAACAGAAUGCAAUCCAGUUUCUUUUUAUUUAACAUUAAAUAAAUGCAUAUGUAUUUAGCAAGAAAAUAUUCAACGUACAAUUCUUAUCAAUUACUUCUAAAAUUAGGUAUGCCAAAAUUCAUACAGUGUCAUAAUUAACAUUGUUUACCCUGUUUGAAAUAAAUUGAGACCAGAUAAAAAGUAACAAGAUUUAUCAAUUUGCAAAAGUAUAAACAUAUUUUAUACAGAACAUUAAAAUUAGUCUCAAAAAUGAAUUGUCAUAUAUCAUUACUUCUUAAUUUUUUUUAAUUGUCAACGUUUAGAAAAAAAUCACAUGAAUAAUUUUCAUUAUAAUCAUACGUAAAGAAAGGAAUGGUUGUUCCAGUGUAAAUCCUACUCGUAGAAAUCUUAAGAGUCAAUUCUGAUGACUGAAUACACAUAGUACUAUUUUUGAAGACUUUUAGGGCCUCUAACAGAAAAUUAAUAAGCUUCAACGAUCUUUAUUUAUCUUAUGGUCAGGAGAAACAAGAACAGUAGAUAUUUGGUUUCCAAAAAUGUAUAAAAAGUGCGACUUCGUUUUGAAACCAAGAAGCAGUAUUUUGUCAUAAUUUCUUUUUCAAAAUAUUCUUUGUAUAAUCCUCAAUGCGGCGAAGAAUGCAUCUUUAAAAAAAUGGGAAAUGGAAAAAUUUUUUCUAUAAAAACUUGCAUGUUUCUUUCUAGUGUUUUAAGGAUAACAUUGCAAAAUUCGACUCUGUACCUUUUUUUUGUAUUACUAUCGCUUUAAUUUAAAUUAAUAUUGCUCCAAAUUACUUGAAUUACAAAGUCGUACAUAUACAUUUUUGGAAACUAAAUCUCUAUUAUCCUUGUCUCUCCUAACCUAACCUAACCUAACCAAAACAACAUAAGAUGAACAAAGAACGCCGCAGUUUCUUAAUUUCCCGCCAGAGAUCUCACCUUAAAAAAUGAUACUGUUGUGAGUAUUCAACCAUCACAGUUAACUCUUGAGCUCGUCCACUCCUUUUACUAGAUUUCACAUAAUCUUUUAAAUCACUAUUCCUUUAUCCUACUUCUUUUCUCACAUUUCCGUCAAAAAGUAAAAAGUUCACAACUGUGAACCAGCUGCAAAGGUUGUUCUACUUGAUAACAAUAUUUCUGCUACGUUUUACAACAUUUUAAAUUGAUUUUAUUCAUUACUGAUCUGCCGUUGUUAAGGGAGCUCGAAAGCGCGGAUCUAUGGUUUCAUAAUCAAUGAUCGAAUUUGAGGCAAGACUGAGCGAAAAGUCUCAACAGAAAGUGCUUAGUUUUUUUAUGCACAGAAUGAAUAAUUCAAUCUUACGAGUCAUUUAAAUCGGUGGUCUACAGAAGCUUAAAAUAAAUGAUAUGAAAUGUGAAGAACACUGACACUUAUUCAAAAUUAAAUCUAAUAAUUAUUAUUAAAACACUUAUUAAUUAUAGUGACAAAAUUAAAUUAUUGAUGCAGUGUAAUUUUGAUGGAGAUCGAACGAUAAAAUUAGAUUGCUAAAAUCAAGCGGAAAGUGUCACUGAUAGAUACGGUACUCGGCUUUUGCGAAUGUUGUGCAAUAAUUACGUUUCUGAAAGCACGUAUUUUAUUUGCACAGAACUGUCGAACAAGUGUAAAAAUAACUUCUGGUUGUCCUUCGAUAUGAUCGAACAUCUGCCACGUUUUUUUUCAUUUCGAAUAUUUGCGACAGGUCAGUGAUAUUGCUUAUCAAACAUAUCGUUUAAUCGAGAACUCUUAUGUAUAUAUUUGUAUACAUUUCUUAUGUAACCAUUCACAGUAGAUUUGAAUAUUUUAACGCAGCAAUUACUUUUAAUACCGUUUGACGUUUUACAUUAUUCAAAGACAUAAUUGUUAUACAACUAUGGUUUUAUGCAGUGAUACUACUCGGUUCAGUAAUAAUUGAGCAGAAUAAUUUGUCAACACAAUUUUCCAUAAAUUUCCACGAUUAACUUUAUUCACUCAAUGUUUCAAUCAAUAUAGAAACCGAUGUUUAAUUUAAUUUCAAUGCUCCUCUAAUUUUAAUUAAUCAGGUAGAGUGCUAAAAACCAUUUUGUUUGUAUCAUCAUUCUUCCCAUUUCUUCUUUUCUUUCCCUUUUAAUAAUGUGUUCAACACGAAGUUAAAUUGCGUUCUGAAAUAUCUUCACAAAAUUAAGCACCAAUGCUUGAGACUGAUAAAAUCGGAUUACCAUGUACAUAUUUUAUUAGCGAAAAGAAUGAGAACAUGUUAUUAAGAUCCAUGUAAUCCUGUAGCGUAGAGCUCGAUUACUUCCCUUUUCUCUUCCUUUAUCUCCGUUAAGCAUCGAUCGUUGAUGAGAAUUUAUUUUUAAUCGAAUUUUGUUUGUUUAGAUGUUUCUUUAUAGUUAGGUAUAAUUUCGUGUUUAUUGUUACACGAAAGGCGUGGGUGACAGCGUUUGAAGAUUCUGCUAGAAAUAUAUUGCAACUAAGGAGCGAAGGAUGAUGAAGGAAUGAAGUAUCUAUACGUAUGAGUAAACGUAUAUAAUAUAUAUGUAACACAUGUUCUAUAUGUUAUUAAGACAAUAAAUGGAAGACCGAUUGAUAGUUA